rnacentral:rRNA from 1 species
UACGUAGGGGUCAAGCGUUGUCCGGAAUCAUCGGGCGUAAAGCGCGUGUAGGCGGCCCGGUAAGUCCGCUGUGAAAGUCGGGGGCUCAACCCUCGAAUGCCGGUGGAUACUGUCGGGCUAGAGUGCGGAAGAGGCGAGUGGAAUUCCUGGUGUAGCGGUGAAAUGCGCAGAUAUCAGGAGGAACACCAAUUGCGAAGGCAGCUCGCUGGGACGUUACUGACGCUGAGACGCGAAAGCGUGGGGAGCAAACAGG